GCUGGCGACCGGCGCACGGGUGAGUAACACGUAUCCAACCUACCCUUUACUCGGGGAUAGCCUUUCGAAAGAAAGAUUAAUACCCGAUAGCAUAAUGAUUCCGCAUGGUUUCAUUAUUAAAGGAUUCCGGUAAAGGAUGGGGGAUGCGUUCCAUUAGGUUGUUGGUGGGGUAACGGCCCACCAAGCCUUCGAUGGAUAGGGGUUCUGAGAGGAAGGGUCCCCCACAUUGGAACUGAGACACGGUCCAAACUCCUACGGGAGGCAGCAUG
rnacentral:rRNA from 1 species